rnacentral:rRNA from 1 species
UGUGUUAGUGGAAGCGUCUGGAAAGGCGUGCGAUACAGGGUGACAGCCCCGUACACAAAAAUGCACAUGCUGUGAGCUCGAUGAGUAGGGCGGGACACGUGGUAUCCUGUCUGAAUAUGGGGGGACCAUCCUCCAAGGCUAAAUACUCCUGACUGACCGAUAGUGAACCAGUACCGUGAGGGAAAGGCGAAAAGAACCCCGGCGAGGGGAGUGAAAAAGAACCUGAAACCGUGUACGUACAAGCAGUGGGAGCACAGAGCAAUCUGUGUGACUGCGUACCUUUUGUAUAAUGGGUCAGCGACUUAUAUUCUGUAGCAAGGUUAACCGAAUAGGGGAGCCGAAGGGAAACCGAGUCUUAACUGGGCGUUAAGUUGCAGGGUAUAGACCCGAAACCCGGUGAUCUAGCCAUGGGCAGGUUGAAGGUUGGGUAACACUAACUGGAGGACCGAACCGACUAAUGUUGAAAAAUUAGCGGAUGACUUGUGGCUGGGGGUGAAAGGCCAAUCAAACCGGGAGAUAGCUGGUUCUCCCCGAAAGCUAUUUAGGUAGCGCCUCGUGAAUUCAUCUCCGGGGGUAGAGCACUGUUUCGGCAAGGGGGUCAUCCCGACUUACCAACCCGAUGCAAACUGCGAAUACCGGAGAAUGUUAUCACGGGAGACACACGGCGGGUGCUAACGUCCGUCGUGAAGAGGGAAACAACCCAGACCGCCAGCUAAGGUCCCAAAGUCAUGGUUAAGUGGGAAACGAUGUGGGAAGGCCCAGACAGCCAGGAUGUUGGCUUAGAAGCAGCCAUCAUUUAAAGAAAGCGUAAUAGCUCACUGGUCGAGUCGGCCUGCGCGGAAGAUGUAACGGGGCUAAACCAUG